UUGCAAACUGAAGAUGGCGACGGGCGCACGGGUGAGUAACACGUAUCCAACCUGCCGAUAACUCUGGAAUAGCCUUUCGAAAGAAAGAUUAAUACCGGAUAGUAUACGAAUAUCGCAUGAUAUUUUUAUUAAAGAAUUUCGGUUAUCGAUGGGGAUGCGUUCCAUUAGUUUGUUGGCGGGGUAACGGCCCACCAAGACUACGAUGGAUAGGGGUUCUGAGAGGAAGGUCCCCCACAUUGGAACUGAGACACGGUCCAAACUCCUACGGGAGGCAGCAGUGAGGAAUAUUGGUCAAUGGGCGAGAGCCUGAACCAGCCAAGUAGCGUGAAGGAUGAAGGCUCUAUGGGUCGUAAACUUCUUUUAUAUGGGAAUAAAGUUUUCCACGUGUGGAAUUUUGUAUGUACCAUAUGAAUAAGGAUCGGCUAACUCCGUGCCAGCAGCCGCGGUAAUACGGAGGAUCCGAGCGUUAUCCGGAUUUAUUGGGUUUAAAGGGAGCGUAGGUGGAUUGUUAAGUCAGUUGUGAAAGUUUGCGGCUCAACCGUAAAAUUGCAGUUGAAACUGGCAGUCUUGAGUACAGUAGAGGUGGGCGGAAUUCGUGGUGUAGCGGUGAAAUGCUUAGAUAUCACGAAGAACUCCGAUUGCGAAGGCAGCUCACUAGACUGUCACUGACACUGAUGCUCGAAAGUGUGGGUAUCAAACAGGAUUAGAUACCCUGGUAGUCCACACAGUAAACGAUGAAUACUCGCUGUUUGCGAUAUACAGUAAGCGGCCAAGCGAAAGCAUUAAGUAUUCCACCUGGGGAGUACGCCGGCAACGGUGAAACUCAAAGGAAUUGACGGG
rnacentral:rRNA from 1 species